rnacentral:rRNA from 1 species
UACGGAGGGGGCUAGCGUUGUUCGGAAUUACUGGGCGUAAAGCGCACGUAGGCGGCUUUGUAAGUUAGAGGUGAAAGCCCGGGGCUCAACUCGGAAUUGCCUUUAAGACUGCAUCGCUAGAAUUGUGGAGAGGUAAGUGGAAUUCCGAGUGUAGAGGUGAAAUUCGUAGAUAUUCGCAAGAACACCAGUGGCGAAAGGCGGCUUACUGGUCCGGUUCUGACGCUGAGGCGGCGAAAAGCGUGGGGAGCAAACAGG